rnacentral:rRNA from 1 species
UACGAAGGGGGCGAGCGUUGUUCGGAAUUACUGGGCGUAAAGGGCGCGUAGGCGGCCGAUCAAGUCAGAUGUGAAAGUCCUGGGCUUAACCUGGGGACUGCAUUUGAUACUGAUUGACUUGAAUUCGGGAGAGGAUAGCGGAAUUCCCAGUGUAGAGGUGAAAUUCGUAGAUAUUGGGAAGAACACCGGUGGCGAAGGCGGCUAUCUGGACCGACAUUGACGCUGAUGCGCGAAAGCGUGGGGAGCAAACAGG